rnacentral:rRNA from 1 species
AUUGAACGCUGGCGGAAUGCUUUACACAUGCAAGUCGAACGGUAGAGGGGGGCAACCCCCUUGAGAGUGGCGAACGGGUGAGUAAUAUAUCGGAACGUGCCCAGUCGUGGGGAUAACGUAGCGAAAGUUACGCUAAUACCGCAUACGAUCUAAGGAUGAAAGCGGGGGAUCGCAAGACCUCGCGCGAUUGGAGCGGCCGAUAUCAGAUUAGGUAGUUGGUGAGGUAAAGGCUCACCAAGCCGACGAUCUGUAGCUGGUCUGAGAGGACGACCAGCCACACUGGGACUGAGACACGGCCCAGACUCCUACGGGAGGCAGCAGUGGGGAAUUUUGGACAAUGGGCGCAAGCCUGAUCCAGCAAUGCCGCGUAGCAGGAUGAAGGCCUGGUUGUAA